rnacentral:rRNA from 1 species
CGCGUAGGCGGUACCCUAAGUUAGAUGUGAAAACCCGAAGCUUAACUUCGGACCUGCAUUUAAAACUGGGGAACUCGAGUGUCGGAGAGGAAAGCGGAAUUCCAAGUGUAGCGGUGAAAUGCGUAGAUAUUUGGAGGAACACCAGUGGCGAAGGCGGCUUUCUGGACGAUAACUGACGCUGAGGCGCGAAAGCGUGGGGAGCAAACAGGAUUAGAUACCCUGGUAGUCCACGCUGUAAACGAUGGAUACUAGGUGUGGGAGGUAUCGAACCCUUCCGUGCCGCAGUUAACGCAAUAAGUAUCCCGCCUGGGGAGUACGGCCGCAAGGUUGAA